rnacentral:lncRNA from 1 species
UUCACAAUAUUCAGAAACUUUCAAUCUUCUUAUUCAAAGAAAAUAACAAACAAAAGAAAAGAGGUAGCAGCAAACUUAUCCUGGCUCACAACUCUCAUUGUUUGGCAUUUUCUUCCCCUCUCCCAUCCUCCUUAUACUAUCCCAAGAUACCAACUCCUAUACUACAGAUGAUAACUACUUUUCCUGACUAUUCAUCCAUUCUACCUACUGAACCGCCUUUUCAGCACUUAUCUAUCCCUGUUUACACUAUACACUAAGUAUCUACAUUCUGAAAAUAACUACUUAUUCUACAUAGCCCCACUCCUAAUUGAGCAGCGUCCUUGCAAACACUCAAUUGAUACCUAUCUAAAAAUUAUCUAACAAAAUUCUACAAAAAUUAUGAUCCCUCUGACCUAUCAAAUUAAUCAAUUGCCGCAAUAUCUGUUAUUGGUUCUACCGAUUCCAGUUCCAACUCCAAAUCAUCCUCGUCUUCUUCUAGUCCAUUGAGUGAUUUAAUUAUAUGAGAAGUUAUUAGAAGAUUGAUUAUGAUUGGAAAAUUAUGAUUGUUGUUUAUCAAGAGUUGUGUGUAUUUUGGACAAAAGAAGUCUGUGAUUACAGAAAUUGUGUGGAUUCAAAAUAAUUGGAAUAAAGUAUGUUAUUCUUGGUGUUGGAUGGAAUUUAUCGAGUUUUGAUGAGUCUUUUACGAGUGAAGGUUGCACAUUGUAGUUAUCAAUUGAUGAAGGAGUAUUGUUCCUAGAUGGAAGCAUUAUAGUAUUUCUUGGUGUUUUAGUAGUUUAGAUUACAGUUAAUUGAGUGACCUUAACUUGUAAGUUCAUGCAUUUAGUCUUUUCUUGAGUUCAAAUUCUUCUAUAUAGGUUUAUUAAGAAAAAAAUUAUAAAAUAAGUAAAACAACAAUCACAGUUAUUAAAUGCUCGAUUUUGUUGAUUAGAUCCAUUUCCAUUCUAUUCAUACGUAUUUUUCAUUUGAACUUGAUUGACUUUUGACUGAGUCGGUGGAAUCAUGGUCUAAUUAUUGAAUUGUUGUUGCCUUUGCCAAUUCCAACAAUUAGCUGUUAAGUGCUUUCUUCCGCAAAGUGUACAUUUAUCCAUCAUUUGUGAGGGUGAAGGACAUUCUGUUACCAAAUGACCAUGGCCCUUACAAUUACUGCACUAUACAUUGGUCCUAGUAUUAAUAGACUUUUGCCUCUUCUCCUUAUCCUUGGCCAUAUUAACAGCCAUUUUCUCCAUUUUCUUUGUUAGGUUCAAUAACAAGGUUUCAUUGGAAUCUUUUGGGACUGAUAUUAAUGGUAACUUUGUCAUUGUUGAUGCUUGUUGUUGAUAUGAAAAAUAUGGAAUAUAUGCUAUUGUCACGUUCGGUAGUAUAGCUUGCAAUGGGGUGACAUUAAUUGGCCCCUGAAUAUUGGCACUGGAAUUUGCCAUUGUUUCUAACAUCCGUAGAUAACUAUCCACUGAUCUGUUCCACAUCAAAUUUUAAUAGCUGCCUUGAACUGGAAUCAUUGUGGUAUCUUUAGUUAAAAACUGAUCAUAAUGGCAUUCCUCUCAAACCUUGGCUUUAUUAAGAGAUGCAGUUACCAUAUUUAAUUGAGCCUCUUUUACAAACAUUUUUAGUUUGAGUGGGUACAAUCCAUUGAUUAAUAUGGACAAUACAAAAGCCUUUGGCAUUUGGUGAUUUAGCCACUUACGAAGUAUAUCUACUACAUGACCAUAGUAUGAUUCUACUGCCUCUCCUGGACCCAUUUUGUUAGUCAUUAAUCUUUCUCAAAGUUGAUCCUCAAAACCAAUUGGGCAAAAAUGGAUUAAAAAUGCAUUCUUCGAUGCAUCCCAAUUAAAAAAUUGACCCAUUGGUUGACAGUUGUACCAUUCAAAUGCCAUGUCCUUUAAAAUUGCUGACAACCAUCGUAACCAAAUAUCUUCAAUUCUUCCAUUAUUGGCUAUUUAAGCUGUCAGAAACUGAGACAAAUGUUGAUCUGGAUCUGAACUUAGAAAAUCCCUAAAAGUAGGUAAUGGAGCCACGCUCGUUGUGCUAUCACUUAUGUCACCCAUUUGUACUGCUAUUGGAAUCGUUGGACCACCCGUUGCCAUUGAAGAGAAUAAUGUUCCACUUAAUCUUUUGUCAAAACAACUAGUACCUUCUCCAAUUGAAUGUUUUAAAUUUUUAAGUUUCCUCAAUUUGGUAUUAUUUUCCUUUAUUAAGUUAUUCGAUAGAAUUGGGGGUAAAAAUGAUGGGUUUUAAAAUACAUUGAAUUGGCCCUUAUUAACUAGUAAUUUAUGCCACUUUACGGAACCAGUUUUGACAGAAUUGGAAGCUUUUGUUAUUGGAAACGUAUCCAAUAGAGUACCCAAUUCUUCUAUGAUUCUCCCACUUACAGUUAACGGCCUAUCAAGGACAUGAACUCCUAAGAAAGAUAAUCUCAAUACACUCUUUUGUCACUCAAAAAUACUUAAAAAUCACUCAGAAGUGAUAAUGUAUUGAAAUAGAAUGGCUAUUGUCAAAGACUAAAAAACAUGACAACUCUUGAAACUAGACUAGAAAUAAGAAAAGAGUUGAUAAGAGUGAAGAAGGCUUCACUUUUGUCUCUAUAUAUACUAUUUAACUAGGAGCUAUGUGGCAACGUUCUAUAGGACCUUCAAUAUGUGUUGACUUUGUAGGACACUUGCCUUGACUUAUAAGGCAAGUUUUUCUAUGUGUAGGCCAUAUAGUUAGCUUGGUCUUUAAGCUAAUAAUAUGUGUGGCACAUGGCCAACUUGUUGACCAUGUUUCUAAUCCAAAAAGUCAAUUAAAGACUCCUAUGAAGUCAAAGCAAUGUCUAUGAAGCUUCUAGAAAGCUUCUAUAACAAAUACUAUAGAAUUAACUAAUUUUUAUCUACUUUUACUUAUUUUUAUUUAUUUAUAUAUGUAAUUACUAGCUUACAUGAGUAUGUCUGUGACAUUACUCCCCUUCUAGGGAUGAGUUCCACGAGGAGCGGUCAUCAUAUGUUGAAAAAAUCUAUGAUGCGAUAAAUUAUAUUUUCCACAUACUCUGAUCUUUGUUCUCUUCGAAGAUUAUUGAUAGGGCCUGUCAUCCAUCGGUAGUGUCCCAUAUUAGGGCGAGAAGACCACCAUGUCAUUUGGUCAUUGUUGAGGCCUUCAUAACUUCCUUCGAUUAAAACAUUUGCAAUACCAUCAAGAGUUGUUCCUACCUCUAGUGAAAUCACCAAACAUCAGAAGGCCCUUCUAAGGUCGUGAUACCAAAUGCAUUAUAUUUUGCCAUCUUUUCGAGGAAGAACAUGUCGUUCUUGAAGAUCUUCAUCUCGAUUGCAUCAUCUUGAAGGUUGUGAUAAUCGUAAUAUCUCGUCCGAUAGGACAACAAAUGAAGGCUCUUAAGUCAAAUCCAUUGGUUGUUAGAUCUCCAUCUCUUUAGCGUCACAAGAAGCUACAAACAAGGAUUGAAAGUAGAAUGUUAUCUUGUCUAGAUCUUGUUUCUUUUAUAAAGAAGAUUUUUAUCUUGGUUUUAAUGGAUGUCGUCGAUGAAAAGCCUCCACCGCCUUUGCUGCAUUUACAAGAUUCUUUAGUAGCUCCCAUGUGCUUUUGCUAAUAUCAUAUCCGUAUCAAUGGAUAAGAUAUUCUAAUUUAUUUUGGCAUCAUCUUGAAUCUAAGACUUCUUCCACUUCAAACUCUUAAUUAUUGUCGACUUCUAUAGGAAGAAGUGGAGCUUGUCUUCUUCUUGGUAUAUCUAUUGUCUUGUAUGGUUUAAGAAGAGACAUGAAGAAUACAAGAUGGAUUUUUAUUGACUUUGGUAGAUGUAAACAACAUGCAACUGGAUUGAUUUGUGUAGAAAUAAAAAAUGGUCCAAGCUUUCGAUAGUCCAACUUGUCACAAAGAUGAGUGGUCUUGAUAUUACGACAAAGUAACCAUACCUUAUCACCUAUGUGGAAUGGUGGUUAUUCCUUUUGAUAGACAUCCACAUUUAUCUUUUGUCAUUCUUGAGCUUCUUAUAAUUGUGCCUUCAUUAUUGCAUGUAACUCUUACAAUUGAUUUACCAUAUCUUCUAUCUCAAGAUUAUCAACUUUUGAAAAAUUAAACAUGUCAAGUCGUGGAUGAUAACCAUAAUUGUCAAAGAAAGGUGUUUGUUGCAUAGAAGAAUGCACAGUAUUAUUAUAAGCAAACACUGACAAUGGCAAAAGAGUUGUUUAAUCAUCUUGUUGAUAAUUGAUGGUACAUUUUAAGUAUUGCUUCAAGACUUGGUUUAUGCGCUUUGUUUGUCUGCAAUUUGAGGAUGAAAAGCCAAAGAUAGUUUUAUAUCCACUUGUAAAAUCUUAAAAAGGUUUCUUCAAAAUCUUAAUACAAAUUGAGUUUCCCUAUCCGAUAUAAUAUCCUUUGGUAACCCAUGAUAGCGAUAGAUAUUGUCAAUAAAAAGCUUAGUUGUUUCUUCACCCAAGAUGGAUUUUGUACAUGGCACAAAAUGUGCCAUCUUGGUGAAGUGAUCUACUAUCACAAAUAUAGAGUCAUAAGAACCUCAGCUUGGAAGAUUUGUAAUGAAGUCUAUAAAAAUAGAAGACCAUAAUUGCUCUGGAAUGGAUAAUAGCUGAAGAAGUCCAAAAGGUCGAUGACAAGGAAUUUUUGAUCUUCAACAAACAUCACAUGAUUGUACAAAAUCUUUGACUCUCUUCUUUAUUUGAGGCCACUAAAAAUCCCUAGAUAUUAGCUCCAAAGUCUUAUGGUAUCCAAAAUAUCUUGCUGCUGAAAAGUCGUGAUGAGCUUGAAGAACAUAUAAAUGUGCUUCUUCUUCUGGAACAUAUAGGCGUCCUUCGAAAUAGAGUAGGUUGUUCUUGAACUCGAAUUUAGAGGAAUCAUGAGAUUUACAAGAAUUAUUCUUGAUAUUAUAAACAAGAGAGUCUAAAGACAGACUUAAUUGGACUUGCUUGAAAAAAGUUAAAUCAACAGUCAAUGUUGAUUUUAUUGCUCGAAGAUGAAAUUACUCCAGCUUCAAGAGAACCAUUCUUUGUUGCUCAAAAGCUACAUCUCUUUCUUUUGGUACAAGUUAAAAAUAUCUAGAUAAGGCAACGAACAAACUUUGUUGUUUUUUUAGUCGAUAAGUGAUGAUGAACUCGAAUCUUGAUAAAGACAUGCUCUAAUGAGCUUGAUGACAAUUUAAUAUGCAUGUUGACAUGAAAUACUCAAGGUUCUUAUGAUCCGUAUACACGAUGAUUUCUACUUGAGGUGCCUUCUAGAUAAUGAUGCCAUUCUUGAAAUGAAUCCAUAAUUGUAAGAAGUUCUUUAUCAUGGAUUUCAUAGUUAAUCUCGAUUAUUGAAAAUUUCUUGGAAUGGAAUGCUACUAGAUGGAGCUUGUCAUCUGCUCCCAUUUGUAACAAAAUAGCACCCAAGGCAAAGUGUGAUGCAUCUAUUUCUAUAAAAAAUACCUUAGAGAAGUCAACGCGAUACAAGAUUGGUGCAGAAGUAAAUUCCUUCUUUAAAGCAUCAAACACUACUUCAGCUUCUUUACUCCACUCAAAUUUGUCUUUACAAGUCAAAUGCAUAAGUAGAGCUGCAACUUGAGAAAAGUUUUUGUUGAAGAUUUGAUAGUAAUUUGCAAAGUCCAAAAAACAUUGUACAUCAUAUACUGUUCUUGAAAUCUUCCAAUCUAUGAUAGUCUAGACCUUCUUGGGAUCCAUCAUUAGGCCUUCAUUGGAAAUGAUGUAUCUUAAAAACUCAAUUUGAGUAGUGUGAAUUACACACUUUUCUAACUUGGCAUAUAAUCCUACAUCUCUUAGUUUUUGUAACACACGAUGAACAUGGAAUUCAUGUUCUUCUAUGUUCUUAGUGUAGAUUAGAAUGUCCUCUAAAUAAUAAAUGACAAAAUCAUCUAAAAACUCACAAAAAACAUCAUUCACGAGAUGUUGAAAAGCAGUUGGUGCAUUUGUGAGUCCAAAAGGCAUGACAUUAUAUUCAAAAUGUCCAUACCUAGUUCGAAAAGUAGUCUUCCAUUCAUCUCCUACUUUGAUGCAGACCAAGUUGUAUGCUCCUCAUAGAUCUAUUUUUGUGUAGAUCUUUGCUUCAUUGAGUUGAUCAAGAAGUCCUGAAAUCAAAGGUAAAGAAUACCUAUUUUUGAUUGUAAUCUUGUUUAGGCCCUGAUAGUCUACGCACAUCCGUAGAUAUCCAUCUUUUUUCUUCACAAAUAAGAUCCGCACUCCUGUCGGAGAUUUUGAAUGGCGUAUGAAGUUUUUAGCCAAGUUCUCGUCAAUAUACUCCUUGCAGCCAACUCGUUUUGUAAUAAGCUAUAGAUUGGUCCAAAUGGCGAUUGAGCUCCUUCUUGAAGAUCAAUUGAACAAUCAUAAGGUCAAUGUUCUACAAGAAUAUCUAUAUUCUUCUUCUCAAAAAUAUCUUGGAAUUCUUCAUAUUCACUAGGAAUACUACUUGAUAUCUUUUCACUAUCUGAAAUGGGCAUGGCAUAUAUAGCAAAAGAUGACCCCUCUUUGGCUGCAUGCAUGAAAGCUCUUGCCCCUACUAGUAAGGGCUUAGAUGCACUAGAUGUAUAUAUUUUCUCUUAAUUAAUAGAAUUUCAAAAUAAACUAGUAGAAAAGUUAAGGUUACAGGAAAUCCAAUCUAUCUGAGGGUUGUACUUUUCUAACGAGGAUAGUCCUAAAAUAAUUGGAUUCAAAAAAGAUCAUAUAUAUUAAAUAUUAUUACAGUAUUAUGAUCUUUAAUUACUACAUCUAAACAAACAAUCUCAUGGGUAACAUCACCAGAAGACAAUGAACAACCAUCUAUGACUUCCACAUGUACAGGUUUGAUUUUCUUGACUAAUAAUAUUUCUUAUUUUUGACAAAGCCUUUGUCUAUGAAACAAGCUGAGGCUCCUAAAUCUAAUAAUGCAAAGACUUUAUGAUUUUUGGGUCCUAAACAUACAUCUAUUGUAAAACAAGGUGAAGCAUCUGAGGAGAGAAUAAGACUUUGACUAGGUGUUGUACAUGGUUCCAGUUGCACGAUUCCUAUUGUAGCUGGAAGAACUUAUUUUCUGACUCAUUAUCUUCUUUUGCAAUCGUACUCCUCAUUUUGUGAUUGCGUUGCUUCCUUGGACAAUAUUGAGCAGUAUGUUUAGCUUCUCCACAAUGUAGACAUAAGCCCUCUUGACGUCAUCGAGUCUUUUCCUGCUCUGUGAGGGAUUUAAAACGUACUGUAUCAAUUUGCAUUGGCUUUGGCCUUGAUGGAAAGGUUUUCAAAAACUUAGAAGGUGUUGCCAUGACUUGACUUGUUCCUCUUCAGCCAUAUCUUUGUUUUUGACGUCUUUUAAAUAAAUGAUUAUUACAUGUAAUAGCUUGAGCAAUGAAUUAUUUUAAAGAAUCUAUUUUUGGUAUUUUUAAUAAAAAAUCUUUGAUAUUAUCCUUUAAUCCAUAGUAAAAUUGAUUGAUAAGGGCUUUAUCAUUCUAGUCCACAUCACAAGCAAGACUUUUGAAUUCAGUAACAUAUGUGGUGGUUGAACGUGAUCUUUGUCGUAGAGAUACAAGCUUGGUCUCUGCUACCCUUUCUUGAUCACUUUUUCUAAAUAUAGCCAUAAAUACUUCCAAGAAUGAGUUCAAAUUAUAGAGUAGUGAUGAAUCUUUUUUCAUCAAAGGUGCAAACUAAGAGAGAGCACUUCUAGAUAGAUGUGCACCUUUGAAUCCAACUUAAGUAAAUCCAUUAGGAUAUUGAAAAGGAUGCAACCUUAAGUAGAGUUUAACUUGUUACAUAAACCCUCAAAAUCUUGAUCUUGUUCCAUCAAACUUUUUAGGCAUACUAAUCCUUGCCUCCGUCAAGCUUGUAGAAGCAAAAUUCCCAAAAUUUGGUUCUGAGGCUAAUCGACUUAAUUCCUUCAACUGCACAACUUCUUGGCGUGGACUUUGAACUUCUUCCAUAGUAGUAGGAAUAGUGCUUCCAUGGUUGGUAUAGGUGAUGCAUGAAAUUUUGGUCCUAAGAAUGUUGACAAGCUCAUGAAGAUCUGCAAUAGUUACAAAUCUAUUUUCACUUCCACCAAGUGUAACAUCUAUGAUUUUUCCUUCCAUAGACAAUUCAAAAAAAUUCAAAAGUUAAAUAAGAGGAGGGUAAUUAGCAACUUCUAAAAAUAAAUUCCACAAAGAGGGAUAAUCCACUCUCUUUAAGAAAAAUAUCAAUGUUAGAAAAUAAGAUUUUUUAUUUAAAGGUGGGUAGUCUGUAACCUUCAAAAUACAAUAAUAGAAGUCCGGUAAUCCACUCACUUCUAAAACAAGACAAAAAUAAUAUGUUAGCACUCUUGUCAAACUAUCAAGGACAUGAACUCCAAAGAAAGAUAAUCUCAAUACACUCUUGUGUCACUCGAAAAUACUUAGAAAUCACUCAAAGGUGAUAAUAUAUUGAACUAGAAUGGCUGUUGCUAAAGACUGGAAAACAUGACGACUCUUGAAACUAGACUAGAAAUAAGAAAGGAGAUUACAAGAGUGAAGAAGACUUUAUUCUUGUCUCUAUAUAUACUAUCUAACUAGUGGCUACUUGGCGACGUUCUAUAGAACCUUAAAUAUGUGUUGACUUUGUAAGACACUUGCCUUGACUUACAAGGCAAGUUUUUCUAUAUGUGGACCACAUAAUUAGCUUGGUCUUCAAGCUAACAACAUAUAUAGAAUAGAUAUUAGUUCAUUUUUGUAAGAUAUUGGUAAAAUAAACUAAUAGUCCAUAGAAUAGUCACUUUAGGAGGACAUAUGGUUGAUUUAGUUAUUAAAAGUGGUUAUUAUAAGAUUAUGGUUAGAAUUUGGAAAUCAGUAGCAAUUAUAUAAGAGUUGUAGAAGUUUGUUGGGAUGCUAGACUGUGAUAGUCAUGAGCCGGGAUUAAGCUUGGUGCUUCCUCUUUGUUUUUUUUGUUUUCUUUGUUGUUGAAGAAUAAUGGAUAGUUUUUGAAUAUUGAUUAGUGAGUCUAUGGAAUGAAUCAAAGAUUGAUUUAUGAGUUAUUGAUUAUGUAAUUAGAGUACUGAGUGAUUGAAUUAUAUGAGAAGUUAUUGAAAGAUUGAUUAUAGAUGGAAGAUUAUGAUUGUUAUUUAUUAGGAGUUGUGUGUGUGUAUUUCGACAGAAGAAAUCUGUGAUUACAAGAAUUCUAUGAAUUCAGAUUGAUUGGAGUGAAGUCUGUUAGUCAUGGUAUUGGAUAGAAUUUAUUCAGUUUUGAGCAGUCUUUUGAGAGUACAAGGUUGCACAUUGUGAUUAUCAGUUGAUGAAGGAGUAUUGUUAUUGAGAGGAAGCAUUUUAGUGUUUCUUAGUAUUUUAGUGGUUUGAAAUGUAGUUAAUUGUGUGACCCUAAUUUGUAAGUUCAUGCAUUUAGUUUUUCUCUGUGUUCGAAUUCCCUUUCACAGGUUUUUUUUGGAAAGAAUUGUAGAAUAAGUAAAAUAACAAUCACAAUAUGUGUGGCACAUGGCCAACUUAUUGACCAUGCUUCUAAUCCAAAAAGUCAAUUAAAGACACCUUUAAAGUCAAAGCAGUAUCUAUAAAGCUUCUAGGAAGCUUCCAUAUCAAAUACUAUAGAAUUAACUUACUUUUAUCUACAUUUAUUUUCUUCUACUUAUUUAUAUAUGUAAUUACUAGCUUACAUGAAUAUGUCCAUGAUACGGCCUCAAGGGAAACAUUGGUCUAUUAACCAAAUUUUCCACGAGUGCUCUUGGAAAUUUAUCUAACAAUAUAUACUUCUAAAAUAUUUGAUGUCGAUCAGCUUCUGAGUAUACUCAAAUAUGCUGACAGGCAUCCAACCAUGGUUUAAUUCAACUUUAUCGAUGAUUCUUUUUUAACUUCUAUUCUUAUUUGUUACAUAAUAAAUUUUUUGCUUGUGAUCUCUCUAUUCUUUCUUUCGACUCCCAUAUUUUCUUUACUGUUAAAUUCUCAUUCUUAAUAAGCAUACUCUUUCAUUAUAUUCUACUGAAUUUGCUUCUUAUCUCCUAUCUUACUAAAUUGGCAGUUAAUUCCUAACACUCAAUGCUAUUAUCUAUCCCCGACAGCGGUGCCAAAAUGUGGUUGUCGUUUUACUAAUUCUACAAUUCCUUUCAGAAUAAACCUAUUUAAGAGAAUUCAAACUGAGGAAAAGACUAAGUGCAUGAGUUUUACUUAUUAGAGUCACACAAUUAACCGUAUUCCGAACCACUGAAACACUAAUAAAGAUUACAAUGCUUUCUCUCAGUAGUAAUACUCCUUCAUCAACUGAUAACAAUAGUGUGCAAUCCUACACUCUCAAAAGAUCGCUCAAAACACAAUAAUUUCCAUUCAACACCAGAAAUAAUAGGCUUCACUGUAACAAUCUAAAUUCACAUAAUUUUUGUAAUCACAAACUUCUUUUUUCGAAACAUACAUAUCUCUCAAUAAAAAAUAAUCAUAAUCUUCCAAUAACUACUCUUAUAAUUUAAUCACUCAGUGCUCCAAUUAUAUAAUUAAUAACUCAUAAAUCAAUCUCUAAUUUAUUCGAGAGACUCACUUCUUAGUAUUUAGAAACUAUCCAUUACUUUUUAACAACAAAGAAAACAAAGAAACAAAGAAGUAGUACCAAGCUUACCUCGAUUCAUGACUAUCACAGUCUAGCACCCCAAUAAACUUCUACAAUUCCUAUAUAAUUGCUCCUAAUUUCUAGAUUUUAAUCGUAAUUGUGAUUCCUCAUUUUACUUAUUCCAAAUUAAUCUAAUGGGAAUAAACCCGUAUGGAGAGAUUCGAACACGGAAAAUGACUAGUUGCUUAAGCGUUUACAUUAGGGUCACACAAUCAAUUACCUCCUGAAUGUAUCGUCUCUAUUUCAUAUAUCUGAACACACAAGGAAACUAUAAUCUCUUCCUUCACCUUAUCGAUCUCUUCCUUACAGCAAUUCAGUCAUAUCAAUAACUGCUAUUUCCACCAAUAUAUUCACCCUUAUAAUCUCCAACUGUAAUACUGCACCCUCACAGCUUUCAGCACACAAUUACCUUCAUUUCAAUCACUGGAAUUCUUCACACAGAACUGCCAUUCACAUUACGGUGUUUCACACAAACACAGAUUCAUUCUCUCUGCUAAACUACAAUUAGAUUUCAGCAUUCAAUCUUUCUUCUUCUCAAAUAAUACCAAUCACAUUUCCAUUCCAUAAUUCACUUUAAGUUCGACUAUCUUCAUAGCAAACUCCGUUGCUGCUGGAUUUGCCAACUUUGAAGGCUCUAUCAUAUCUAACUUUGAAUGAUGACAAUAGUUUGAGAAGAGUAGCGAUUGUUACUUAGAUGCAUAGAUUGUGUUAUUAUAUGUAAACUUUGUCAAUGAUAAGUAGGAAGUUCAAUCGUCUUAUUCAUAGUUGAUGAUGCACUUCAAAUAUUGCUCAAGAAUUUGGUUGACUUACUCUGUUUGGCCAUGAGUUUGAAGAUAAAAGGCAAAGAAAAGGUUGAUGUCAAUCUUAAGAAUCUUCAAGAGUACUUUUCAAAACCUUAAUAUAAAUUGUGGCCAAAGAUUUGAUACAAUGUUGUUUAGCAAUCCGUGGUAAUAAUAGACAUUGUCAAUAAAGAGUCUUGCCACCUCUUCACUAGUAAUUGACUUCUUACAAGAAAUAAAAUGUCUUAUCUUGCUCAAUGUAGAAUAGAUAUUAGUUUGUUUUUGUAAGAUAUUGGUAAAAUAGACUAAUAGUCCAUAGAAUAGUCAGUUCAAGAGGACAGAUGAUUGCGUUAGUUAUUAAAAGUGAUUAAUUAUAAGAUUACAGUUAAGAUUUAAAAAUCAUGAGCAAUUAUAUAGAAGUUGUAGAAGUUUGUUGGGGGACUAGACUGUGAUAGUCAUGAGUUGGAGUAAGCUUUGUUCUACCUCUUUGUUUCUUUGUUUUCUUUGUUGUUGAAAAAUAAUGGAUAGUUUCUAAAUACAGAAAAGUGAGCUCGUGGAAUAAAUCAAAGAUUGAUUUAUGAAUUAUUGAUUAUAUAAUUAGAGUAGUGAUUGAUUAAAUUAUAAGAAGAAUUAUUGGAAGAUUGAUUAUAGAUGGAAGAUUAUGAUUGUUAUUUAUUAGAAGUUGUGUGUGUUUUGGACAAAAGAAGUUGAAAAUUACAGAAAUUCUAUGAAUUCAGAUUGGUUGGAGUGAAGUCUGUUAUUCUUGAUGUUGGAUGGAAUUUAUGAGUUUUGAGUAGUCUUUUGAGAGUGCAGGGUUGCACAUUGUGGUUAUCAGUUGAUGAAGGCGUAUUGUUACUGAGAAGAAGCAUUGUAGUAUUUUUUAGUAUUUUAAUGGUUCAAAAUACAAUUAAUUGUGGGACCUUAACAAGUAAAAUUCAUGCACUUAGUCUUUUCCUAUGUUCAAAUUUUCUUAUAUAGGUUUAUUCUAAAAGGAAUUGUAGAUUAAGUAAAAUGACAAUUAUAUUUUCGCCCUGUUGCCGAGGAUAGACCAUAGCAUUGAGUAUUAGGAAUUAACUGUUGAUUUAGUUAGAUGGGAGAUAGGAAGCAAAUUUUGUAGAAUAUAAAGAAGAGUAUGCUUAUUAAGAAUGAGAACUUAAUAGUAAAGAAAAUACGAUAGUCAAAAGAAAGAAUAGAAAGAUCGUAGGCUAGAAAUUUAUUGCGUAAUGAGCAAGAACAGAAGUUAAAAAGGAAUCACCAAUAAAGUUGGAUUAAACCAUGGUUACAUGCCUGUCGGCAUAUCCGAGUAUAUCCAGAAACUAAUCAACAUCAAAUAUUUCAGUAGUAUAUAUCGUUAAAAUAAUUGCCAAGAGCACUCGUGGAAAAUUUGGUCAAUAGAUGAGUGUUUCACUUGUCACCAUUAACUACAAGUGGAGGAAUCACAAAAGAAUUGGAUACUCCAUUGGAUACGUUUCUAAUAACAAAAGCUUCCAAUUCGAUCAAAAUUGGUUCCGUAAAGUGGCAUAAGUUACUAACCAAUAAGGACCAAUUAAAUGUAUUUCAAAAUCCGUCGUUUUUACCUCCAAUUCAACUGAAUAAUUUAAUAAAGAAUAGUAAUAGCAAAUUGAGGAAACUUGAAAAUUUUAAACAAUCAAUUAGAGAAGGCACCAGUUGUUUUGACAAAAGAUUAAGUGGAACAUUGUUCUCUUCAAUGGCGAUGGAUGGUCCAACAAUUCCAAUAGCAGUACAAAUGGGUGACGUGAGAGAUCACACAAUGAGCGUGGUUCCAUUACCUACUUUUAGGGAUUUUCCAAGUGCGGAUUUCGAUCAAUAUUUGUCUCAGUAUUAUAACAGCUUGAGUAGCCAAUAAUAGAAGAAUUGAAGAUAUUUGGUUACAAUGGUUGUCAGCAAUUUUAAAGAAUAUGGCAUUUGAAUGGUACAAUUAUCAACUAGUGGAUCAAUUUUUUAAUUGGGAUGCAUUGAAGAAUAUAUUUUUAAUCCAUUUUUGCCCAAUUGGUUUUGAGGAUAAACUUUGAGAAAGAUUAAUGACUAACAAAAUGGGUCCACGAAAGGUAGUGGAAUCAUACUAUGGUCGUGUAGUAGAUAUACUUCGCAAGUGGCUAAAUCACCAAAUGCCAGAGGCUUUUAUAUUGUCCAUAUUAAUCAACGGAUUGCACCCACUUAAACUAAAAACGUUUGUAAAAGAUGCUCAAUUAAAUACAGUAACUGCAUCUCUUAAUAGAGCCAAGGUUUGGAAAGAAUGCCAUUAUGAUUGAUUUUUAACUAGAGGUGCCACGAUGAUUCCAGUUCAAGGUAGCUAUCAAAAUUUGACGUGGAACAGAUCAGUGGGUAGUUAUCCAUGGAUGUUAGAAACAAUGGCAAAUUCCAGUGCCAAUAUUCAGGGGCUAGUUAAUAUCACCCCAUUGCAAGCUAUACCACUGAACGUGACAAUAGCAUGUGUUCCAUAUUUUUCGUAUCAAUAACAAGCGUUAACUACGACAAAGUUACCAUUAAUAUCAAUCCCAAAAGAUUCUAAUGAAACCUUGUUAUUGAACCUGAUGAAGAAAAUGGAAGAAAUGGCCGUUAAUAUGGCCAAGGAUAAGGAGAAGAGGCACAAGCCUAUUAAUACUAGGACCAAUGUAUAGUGCAGUAAUUGUAAGGGCCAUGGUCAUUUAGUAACAGAAUUCCCUUCAUGCUUAUAAAUGAUGGAUCAAUGUACAUUUUGUCGAAGAAAGUACUUAACAACUAAUUAUUGGAAUUGCCAAAGGCAACAACAAUUCAGUAAUCAAACCAUGAUUCUACCGACUCAGUGAGAAGUGUAUCAAGUUCAAAUGAAAAAUAUAUUUUGAUGGAAUGGAAAUGGAUCUAAUCGACAAAAUUGAGCAUUCAAUAACUUUCAAAGUUCCAAUUUUCAUCAAGGGUCUGCAUCAAACCCCCAGAAGUAUGGUAAGGAGCAGUAGAGGUAUAUACAACAUGCUCCACCGCGGUCAUCAAACCAAGUACCUUUCAUACCAAUGGGACAAUGAGGAUCAUUUUUUAACCUUACAUAGAACAAGCUUAGUAGGUAUAUACUGAUGGAGAUACCCACUAUGCUUGAUGGGGGUGCAAGAAGAUUACUUCAUUAUUUUUGUUGCAGACAGAUUGGUCAUUAUACUAAUGAAUGUCCCAAUCCCAGAGCGAAUGACAAUUAUGCGCUAGUAUGUAGGAAUUGUAAGAAGUCAGGACAUACUUACAAGCAAUGUAAUGCUCAGUUUAAUUUCAAUAAUCGGGAUCAGCAGAUUCAAAACCAAGGAAAAAUUGAGGAGAUAAAUCAAGGUCCUCAAGAUUCUUUGAUAAAUGGAGUAGAAUGUGUCUAAGCCAUUUUUAUCAAUAGUUAAUAAAAGGAAAAAGGACCAAUUCAACAUUUGGAUGAGUCUGAUGUAAAGGGCCAAUUUGACCUAAUUAUGGGGACAUCCAAUCUAUGUCUUAUUACAAGCCUCCUACCUAAUAUGAGAUGUGACUCGGUUAGGCAACCUAAUGAGGUCCCAAUUAUGGAGGCUUUGAUUCCGUUUCAAGUUAUUCUAUUUUCUAUGCAGUUUCAAAAAACGUCCUAUCCAUUGAAAGAUCUUCUCAGGGGUGCUAAUUCCAAGGAAGCUCCAGCUAUUGUUCCAAUUCCAAGUCCAGGAUGGAAGAAUAUCUUACCUCUUGGAAUUAAACUCAAACUAAUGAAAAGAAAGAAGGCAUUGAGAAUUACCUAAAAUAUGGAACCGUAUGACAUUUUAAAGGAUUUGGACACUAUUUGGCCUUCUAUUUUUAUGAAGCAACUUCUAAAGGUCGCACCAGAGUAUUACUCUACAUUGAAUUCAUUGUUAACAUAGCAUAGGCAACGCAAUAAGGAAGUUUGUAAAGCUAGUUUGAACCUUGAUCCAGGUGCAUCAACCAUUGAUGUUUCGAUUGACGGUGUUAUGAUCUCGAGUGUUCUGGUGGAUGGUGGUUUUAGCGUCAAUUUAAUGAACGCUGAUACAAUAGAUGUUUUUGAUUUAGAAUACUUAGUGCCCACAAUAAUAAUGUUAAGGAUGGCAGAUUAUAGCCGGGUUAAACCAAUGGAUAUUUUACGGAGUGUUUGUGAUUGCUCGUUUUACUUAUUCUAAAUUAAUCUAAUGGAAAUAAAUCUAUAUAGGGAGAUUUGAACACGAGAAAUGACUAGUUGCUUAAGCAUUCACGUUAGAGUCAUACAAUCAAUUACCUCCUGAAUGUAUCGUCUCUAUUUCUAAUAUCUGAACACACAAAGAAACUAUAAUCUCCUCCUUCAUCUUAUCGGUCUCUUCCUUACAACAAUUCAAUCAUAUCAAAAAUUGCUAUUUCUACCAAUAUAUUCACCCUUAUAAUCUCCAACUGUAAUACUGUACCUUCACAGCUUUCAAUACAUAAUUACCUUCAUUUCAAUCACUAGAAUUCUUCACACAGAAUUACCAUUCACAUUACGGUGUUUCAUACAAAUGGAGACUCAUUCUCUCUGCUGAACUACAAUCAAAUUUCAGCAUUCAAACUUUCUUCUUCUCAAAUAAUAUGAAUCAUAUUUCUAUUCCAUAAUUUACUUGACAAUAUUCAAAAACUCUCAAUCCUCUUAUUCAAAGAAAAUAACAAACAAAAGAAAAGAGAUAGCACCAAGCUUACUAUGGCUCACACUAUCACAGCGAUGGCCCUCGGCUCAUGACUAUCACAGUCUCGCACCUUAAUUAACUUCUACAACUCCUAUAUACUUUCUUCUGAUUCUCCAGAUUCCAAUCAUAAUUCUAUAAUUAAUUACUUUUAAUAACUAAAUCACUUUUUCAUCCUCCUGAAUUUUCUAUUAUAUGGACUAUUAAUAUAUUUUAUCAAUAUCUUUCAAAAAUGAAUUAAUAUCUAUUCUACAUAGCCCCACUCCUAUCUGUGCAGCAUCCUCGCAAACAUUCAAUUGAUACCUAUCUAAAAAUUAUCUAACAAAACUCUUCAAAAAUUAUGAUCCCUCUGGCCUGUCUAAUUAAUCAAUUGCCACAGUAUCUAUUAUUGGUUCCACUGAUUCCGGUUCCAAUUGUGAAUCUUCCUCUUCUUCUUCCAGUCCAUUGACUCUUUCCUUAACUGAGCUGAAAGGUCUUCAUUGUACCCGCCCAGUUCACGGACUUGAGCUUUCAAUUUCAAGAUCUGGACAUCCCAAAGUUCUAAUUAUUGUUGCUGUUGACUCAUCUAUUCUAGAAUAUCUUCAAUCGAUACUUGUGACUAGCUCCUCAUUGUUAACUUUUAUUUGGAACUACUAGUCUUGAAAAUACAAGAAAUACAAGAAAAUAGUACUCCAGCCAAUCCAAAACAACACCACAGAAUGACUUUAACUAGUGCCCCGCUCCUAUUCUUUUAAUACUUGGUGAUAAUGACAACAUGUUAUCCAUACUGUUUGUGAAAGGUAAUGAAAAGUAAUCUUUCUUGGUGGCUGCAUUAAGUUUUUGAAAAUCCUAACAAAUUCAAAUUUUUCCAUUCUUUUUUGAUACCAUCACAAUUGGUGACAUCCACUCACUAUUUGGUACUGGGUAAAUAAAACCAAUUGCAAGAAGCUUAUCUAAUUACUCCUUCACCAUGAGGGAAUAUUUAGGAUUAAGGCGAUGUUGUCUUUGAUGAACUGGUAUAAUACCCUCCUCCAAAAUAAUUUGGUGCUCACACACGUCGGCUGGAAUGUCUUUCAAAUCUGCAUAUGACCACGCAAAGGUAGAUUUGUGAUGGACGAAAAAUUGUUUCUAAGCAUCCAAUUUUGUAUCAAUAAUAUCGGCAUAUAUUUUAAUUAGCUGUGGCAUUUUGUUGGUGCCCAAGUUAAUAGAUUAACACAUAGGGUCUUCAACAACCUCUGAUUUAAUUUUCUUUUCUUGAUCUGAAUAUCUUGUAUUAUCUGACAUAUGAGAACCACCCAAAUCUGGUUCCAAUGUGCUAACUCCAUUGACUGCAGAAUUGUUCAUCCAGCAUGAUCCGAGUUAGUCGCAUCCUUCUGAUAUAGUAAAUAUUCGCUAGGACCUCCAUAUUAGUAGAUUCAUACCUUUGCUAUUGAAGUGUUUUAUCCUACCCCAAAUUACGGUGAAUCUAUAACAUCGACAUCUUCCUCUAUCGAUUGACUCUUAUUGUCCAAUGUAAAUUCUGAUUCUGGCAAUUGAGAUUCUCCAUGAUAUUGUACCAGAUACAUCUGUAGAACAAUCUGGUCCCGACCUUUUUCAAUUGUCAAUGUGCCUCGGCUCCAAUCGUUCUUAGCUUUGGCUUGAUAAAGCCAAGGUUUGUCCAAUAAAAUGGGAUACGAUAACGUAGAACUCUGUAAUCAAAAUACAAUAUAAUUAAUUUUGUAUGUCAAUCUCACGAUUACAAUUGCAAUAUUUUGUAAGAUUUCCAUUGGCUUUACCCGACUAUGAUCUGUCAUUUGUAAGACCAAUGUCAUAGGUAGCAAUUACUUUAGAUCCAAGUCCUCCAUUGUAUCUACGUUCAUUAAAUUCACACUGGAACCACCAUCGACUUGUAUCCCUGGAAUUAAAAUGCCAUCGAUUGAUACAUCGAUUGUUGGUGCUCCCGGAUCUGGAUUUAAGCUAACUUCAUGAAUUUCUUUAGUGCAGGAUCUUCAUCAUAUUAGUGCUGAAUUCAAUGUAGAUCAACAUUCCGGUGCUACAGCCAAAAGUUGCUUUAUUGUAAUUGAAGGCUGAAUAACAUUCAAAUCUUUCAGAAUGUCGUAGGGUUCCAUAUUGAGAGUAAUUCCCAAUACUCUUUUUCUUUUCAUUGGUUUGAGUUUAACUCCGUAAUGUAAGAUAUUCUUCUGCCGUGGACUCAGAAUUGGAACAGCAGCCAGGGCUUCCUCGGAAUUCCUGUCUUCGAGAGGAUCUUUCAAUAGAUAUGACGUUUCUUGAAACUGCAUAGAGAUCGAAAUUCCUUAGAAUGGAACCAAAGCCUCCGUAAUUGGGACCUCAUUGGGUUGUGCCACCGAGUCAGGUCUCAUAUUAGGUAUAAAGCCCGUAACAGGACCUAGAUUAGAUGGUCCUGGUAAAUUGGCACGUAGAACCAAAUUAGGUUCUUUAGUCUAUUGAGGUCUCAAUAUUGAAAUACGUCCCAAUAUUGAUAUUGGUUCAUUUAGCCCCGUGUAUGGCGCUACUUGCCCUCCUGCGAUUGGUUCAUCUAUGUCUUGAAUUGGAUUCUUAUCUUUUUGUCGGCCUCUGAUAAGCAUUGCAUUCACCACCUCAAUACGAUGUACUGGUAAGUCUCGUUGAACAAGGCCUUUGUCCUCUCCAGUUGGCUUGUUUGUAUUUGCUAGUCCUGGUUAUUAUAAUUAAAGGACGCAUUGCGUUGCUGAUAAGUGUGACCAAACUGCUUACAAUUUCCACAUAUUGGAGUAUAGUCAUCACUGGCCUUGGAUUAGGACAUUCAUUGGCAUAAUGACCAAUUUGUCUGCAACGAUAGAAAAAAAGUGGUCUCCUGCCAACUCCUUCAGGGAUAUUGGGUGUCUCUACUAGUAUAUAACGGCUAGGUCUGUUCCAUGUCGGAUGAGUAAAGGAUUCUGGUUGAUCCAUUGUUACUAUAGAGUCUGGCAUUGGCUUUGUCAUGGGUGGAUAUUGAUGGUAUCCUGGUUCAUUCAUCGCCAAUCCAUGAGUAUAGGAUACACCUUCUUGGUGAAAUUCAGAGUUUAAGAAAUUGGAAUAAUUCUUGUUUUAUUUAUUCGAUCGAUUUCCAUUCCAACCAAAUCUAUUAUUCGACUGUACUUGAAUGAUAUUCCACGAAGUUGGUUGAAUCAUUAUCUAGUUACUGAGUUGUUGUUGCUUCUGGAAAUUCCAACAGUUGGUGGUAAUAUGCUUGCCCCCACAAAAGGUACAUUAUACAGUCAUUUGGGGAGGUGAAGGACAUUCUGUUAUUAAAUGACCUUGCUCCUUAUAAUUAUUGUACUAAACAUUGGGACGCAUAUUGGUUGGUUUAUUCCUUUUUUUUUUUUUUUUUAUCCUUGGCCAGAUUCACAGCCUCUUCUUCAUCUUCUUUCUCCAGUCCAAAUAGAAUUAGCUUGACAUUAGAACAAUAAUUGAAUAAAAAGCAAGAACAUCCUAGCUAAAUGAUAAGAAAUAAGUUAUUGAGACUCAAGAUCUUCUCAACCUCAACUCAUAUAUAUAUUAGGUCAUAAGAAGCUUCUUGAGAAGUUUUUAUGAGGCUUAGAAACAAAGCAAGCUUACGAUCCUUCUUUGGCAACUUCAUAAAUCAUCAAAAGCUUUUUAUAAUCUUCUAGAAUCUCCUAUGACCUUCUAGAAUUUUCUUUAAAUCUACUAGAACCUUCUAGAAUCUUCUUAAAAUCUAUUAAAAACUUUUGAAAACUUUUAGAAACUUCUAAAAUUUCUUAGAAUCUUUUCAAAUCUUCUUUAGUUAUAUGUUUAAUGACAACUAGAUUUCCAUGUAUGUUUACUAAUAUCAUAUCCAUGCCAAUGAAUAAGAUAUUUCAACCUAUUUUGGUGCCACCUUAAAUCUAAGACUUCUUCUUCUUUAAAUUCUUCAUUAUUAUCUAUUUCCAUAAGAAGAAGUGGCACUUGUCUUCUUUUUAGUAUGUUAAUAUCUUGUAUGAUUUAAGAAGAGAUAUGUAGAAUAUAAGAUGGAUCUUUAUUGAUUUUGAUAGGUGUAAUUGAUAUGCAACUGAAUUAAUUUGUUUGAAAUAGAAAAAGAUGCAAGUCUAUAAUAGUCUAAUUUUUUACAAAGACGAGUAGUCUUAAUAUUACAACAAAAUAACUAUACCUUGUCAUCCACGUUGAAUUUUCAUUAUUUUUUUUGAUAGAUAUGUGAAUUGAUUCUUUAUUACUCUUGAGCUUUCUUUAAUUGUACCUUCAUUAUUGCAUAUAGCUCUGAUAAAUAAUUUGUCAAAUCUUCUGCCACAAGAUUGUCAACUAUUAAAAAGUCAAAAGUAUUAUAUCCUAGAUAAUAACCAUAAUUGGCAAAAAAAGGUAUUUGUUGUGUAAAAGAAUGUAUUUUAUUAUUAUAAGAAAAUUUUAUUAAUAUCAAAAAAAAUUCAUAAUCUUCAUGUUGAUAAUUGAUCAUACACCUUAAAUAUUCUUCUAAAACUUGGUUUACAUGCUCCAUCUAUCUAUCCAUUUGAGAAUGAAAGACCAAAGAUAGUUUUAUGUCUAUUUUUAGAAUCUUAAAAAAGAUUCUCUAAAAUCUUGAUAUGACUUGAAUUUGCCUAUUCAAUAUAAUAUCCUUGAAUAAUCCAUGAUAUCAAUAGAUAUUGUCAAAAAAAAACUUAGCUAUUUUUUUACCAUAGAUAGAUUUUAUAUAUAGUAUAAAAUAUGUUAUUUUUAUAAAAUAAACUACUAUCACAAAUAUAGAAUUAUAUAAACUUAAAACUAAAAGAUUUGUAAUAAAAUCCAUAGAAACAAAAGACCAUGAUUGUUUUGAAAUAGAUAAUGGUUGAAGAAGUUCGUAUGAUUGAUGACAGGGAGUUUUUAAUCUUGAACAAAUAUCUCAUGAUUGAAUAAAAUCUUGGACUAUCUUCUACAUUUGUAGCCACUAAAAAUCUUUAGAUAUCAAUUUUAAAAUCUUAUUAUAUCCAAAAUAUUUAAUUUUUAGAAAAUUUUAGCAUGCUUGAAGAAUACGUAAACAUACUUUUCGUUUUGGAAUAUAUAAGCAUCUUUCAAAAUAGAGUAAGUUAUUUUUGAAUUAAAAUUUGGAAGAAUCAUGAGAAUCAAAAGAAAGAUUGAUAAUAUCAUGAAUAAAAGGAUCAAAGGAUAUACUUGAUUGAACUUGUUUGAGAAAGGUUGAAUCAACAAUCAAUAUUGAUUUCAUUACUCAAAGAUGAAAAUACUCGGGCUUUAAGUUAAUUAUUCUUUGUUGAUCAAAAGAUGCAUCUCCUUCUUUAGGUCGAAGAUAAGAAUAUUUAGAAAGGACAUUUGAUAAACUUAUUAUUUUUUUAAUUAAUAAAUGAUAUUGAAUUCAAAUCUUGACAAAGACAUGCUUCAAGAAGCCUAGCAAUAAUUUAAAACAUAAGCUAACAUGAAAUAUUUGAGGUUCUUGUGAUCCGUAUAUACAAUGAUUAGACUAAAAGUACCUUUUAUAUAAUGACACUAUUCUUAAAAAGAAUCCUUAAUUGCAAGAAGCUCUUUGUUUUAGAUCUCAUAAUUUAUCUCGGUUCCUAAAAAUUUUCUUGAAUGAAAAGCUACUAGGUGAAGUUUAUUUUCUAUUUCCAUUUGUGAUAAUAUAAUACUCAAAGCAAAGUCUGAUGUAUCUAUUUCCAUAAAGAAUUCUUUAGAAAAGUCAACAUGAUACAAGAUUGGUGUAGAAUCAAAGGUUGUCUUUAAAGCUUCAAAUGCUACUUUUGCCUCUUGAUUCCAUUGAAGUUUGUCUUUACAUGUCUAAUCUGUAAGUAGAGUUGUAAUUUGAGAAAAUUCCUUGAUAAAGAUUUGAUAGUAGUUAGCAAAUUCCAAAAAAUAUUAGACAUCUUAGACCGUUUUUGAGAUCUUUCAAACCAUAAUAGUUUGAACUUUUUUAGAAUCUAUCAUAAGUCUAUCAUUUAAAAUGAUAUAAUCUAAGAAAUCAAUUUGAGUAGUGUGAAAUAUACACUUUUCUAUCUUGGUAUAGAGACUUGCAUCUUUUAAUUUUUGUAAUACAUGUCAAACAUAAAAUUUAUCUUCUUUUGUAUUCUUAGAAUAGAUGAAGAUACUGUCUAAAUAACAAACAAUAAAAUCGUCCAAAAAUUUUCAAAAAACAUUAUUCAUAAGAUAUUAAAAUUUUUUUGGUGCAUUUAUAAGUUAGAAGGCAUGACAUUUUAUUCAAAAUAUCUGUACUUGAUUCGAAAUGUAGUCUUCCAUUCAUCUCUUUUUUUUAUGCAUACUAGAUUGUAUGUUCCUCAUAGAUCCAUUUUUGUAUAGAUAUUAGCUUAAUUCAACUAAUCAAUAAUUUUAGAUAUUAAAGAUAGUAGAUACUUGUUUUUCAUGGUGAUCUUAUUGAGUCCUUGAUAAUCAAUUUACAUCUGCAAUGAUUCAUCUUUUUUCUUCAAAAAUAGAAUUAGGACUCUUACUAGACAUUUGGAAUGGCAUAUGAAGUUCUUGCCUAGAUUCUCUUCAAUAUACUCCUUAAGUUCAGCCAAUUCAUUUUGUAAUAAAUUAUAGAUUGGUCCAAAUGGUGAUUGUACUCCUUCUUGAAGGUCAAUUGAGCAGUCAUACGAAUGUUGUUUUGGAAGAAUAUCUAUAUUUUUUUUCAAAUAUAUCUUAAAAUUCUUGAUAUUGGCUUAAAAGGCUACUUGAAGUCUUUGCACCAUUAGAAAUGGGUGUGGCAAAAAUAACAUAAGACCUUUUUCUUGCAGCAUGUAAAAAAGCUCUUAUAUCUAUAGGUAUAAGUUUAAUUGUAUUAGACUUAUGAUUUUUUACUUGAUUAAUUAUAUUCUUAGUUAUACUUUUAGAAAAGUUGAGAGUAAAAAAAAUCUAAUUUAUUUAAGAGUUGUAUUUUUCUAAUGACAAUAAACCUAAAAUGAUUGAAUUAAAAAGAGAUCUAAUGAUAUUAAAUAUCAGAAAGCUAUUAUGACUAUUGGUUAUUAUUUCUAUAGGAAGGAUUUUGUGAGUAACAUCUUCAGAAGACAAUGGAUGACCAUCUAUGACUUCUACAUGAAUAGGUUUAGUUUUCCUUACUAAAGAUAUGUUAAGUCUUUUAGUAAAUUCUUCAUCUAAAAAACAUGUUGAGGCUCUUAAAUCUAACAAGACAGAGGCUUUGUAAUAUUUAAGUCUUAAAACAAUAUUUGAUAUAAAAUAAGGAGAGGGUCGUGAAGAAAAAAUAGAACCUUCACUAAGUAUUGUACAAGGUUUUAGCCAUACAAUCCCUAUUAUAGGUAGAUAAACUUUUUUUCUAAUAUAUUAUCUUCUUUGACAUUUGUACAUCUCAUUUUAUAAUUGUGUUGCUUCUUUGGACAAUGUUGAAUAGUGUGCUUGGGUUCUCCCUAAUAUAAGUACAAACUAUCCUAAUAGCGAUGAGUUUUUUCUUGCUCAAUAAGAGGUUUGAAAUAUACUAUAUUAAUUUAUAUAUCUUCUAUUUUUAAAUGUAUGUGUUGAAAAAAUAUUGAUAUUGCUAUUAAAUUAUAGUAACAUUGAGGCCUACUUAUCCAACUUUCAAAUUAAAAUUUGAAAAGUUGAUUAUCACACUUCAUAGCAAAGUUAAUUGCUUGACUCAAUGUUUGAGGAUCAGAUAAGUUGAGCAUCAAUUUCUUUACUUCAUAUUGUAAUCCAUAGAAAAAUUGGCUGAUAUGUGCAGCAUCAUCCUAUUUGAUAUCAAUUAUAAGUUGUCAAAAUUAUGAAGUAUAUAAUUUUAUGGAUUGAUUACCUUGUCACAAAAUACGGAUCUUGUUGGUUGCAAUACAAGUUGUAUCAGGUUUUUCAUACAUGGAUCAAAACUUUGCCAAAAAAACCUCUAAAUUAUCCAAUAUUGGAUCUUGUUGUUUAAGAAAAGAUAAAAAUAAUAAUAAUACUAAACCUAAAAGAAGUAUAUCAAUAAAUCUAACUUGUGAUACUAGAAUUGGAUAGCUUUGGAAUUGAAGUUUAAUCUUAAGUUGUACUUAAUUGAUAUAUUCUAAAAUUUUUGAUCUUGUGCCAUCAAACUUUUCAAGUAGAGUAAUUCUUGAUUUAAUAAUAUUGGAAGGAUGUUCCACUGUAGGAAAAGGGACAUGAUUCGGUGAAGAUGUUGAAGCAACUCUAAUCAUAUCUAUAUCUUCACUUCUUGCUAUUCUUGUUGGUCAUUGUGGUAGUAAACUAAGUCAAUGUAUUGUAAGCAUUAGCUCUCCCAAUUGCUCUUAUAUUUGUGCCAUUGCACUCUUUAUUUUAAUAAGCUCUGCCAUGAUAAUACUUAAAAAUAAUAAUAUCUAAUUUUCUUCAAAAUAAAUAGAAGAGAGGAUUUUAGAACAAAAAAGAUACUAAAAAUAAUAUUAUUUAAGAAGAAGAUAAUCCACAAAUUCUAAUAUGAUUAUGUCUUAUUAAGAGUAAGGGAUAAUCCACUCUUAAUCAAAAGAAGACAAAGCUCAAAUAUUAUAAGUAUAUUCUUGUGAAUCUAUGAAGGACAUGAAUUGAAAAGACAUGCAUAAACCUAUGAAAUCCAUGUCAAAAAUAAAAGUGAUAAAAUAGAAAUAAAAAAGUAUAUAUAUUAAAAAGAAACUAAAAUGACUAUUGUUAAAAGACAAAGAGACUAGAGACUCUUGAAUCUAGAUUAGAAGCAAAAAAAGAAUUGAUAAGAGUGAAGAAAACUUUAUUCUUGCCUUUAUAUAUACUAUCUAACUAGGAGAUAUGUGGUGAUAUUCUAUAGGACCUCUAAUAUGUGUUAAUUUUGCAAGACACAUGCUUUAACUUACAAAGCAAGUUUUUUAUGUAUAUGUGACAUAGUUAGCUUGUUCUUUAAGCUACCGAUAUGUAUGGCACAUGGCUAAUUUGUUGACCAUAUUUCUAAUCUAAAAAGUCAAUUAUAGAUACAUAUAAAGUCAAAGUAGUAUCUGUAAAGCUUCUAUAGAAGAUAUUAUAGAAUUAACCUAUUUUUAUCUAAUCAUGUAGAUAAUUAUUAGUUUACAUGUGUAUAUCCAUAACAAAAGAUCUUCAUUGUUUUAGAAUAAAUAAAGGUUGAAGAAAUCCAUAAGAUUGAUGAUGUAGAGUUUUUGAUCUUAAAAAAAUGUUACAUGAUUGUAUAAAAGCUUAAACUAUCUUUUACAUUUAAAGCAACCAAAAAUCUUUCAAUAUUAGCUCCAAAGUCUUAUUGUAUCCAGAAUGUUUGGUUGCUGAAAACUCGUGAUGAACAUAGAGAAUAUAUAAUCAUGCUUUGCCUUUUGGAAUGCAUAAUUAUCUUUCAAAAUAGAAUAGAUUAUUCUUGAAUUUAAAUUUAAAGGUAUUAUAACACUUAAAAGGAUUAUUUUUAAUAUCAUAAAUAAAAGGAUCAAAAGACAUAAUUAAUUGAAUUUACUUGAAAAGAGUUGUCAAUAUUGAUUUUAUUGACCAAAGAUGAAAAUGCUUUAAUUUCAAGAGAAUUAUUUUUUGUUGAUUAGAAGAUACAUCUUUUUUUAACAAAUCUUAUUAUUUUUUGAAACAAUAAGUAAUCUUAAAAUCAAAUCUUCAAAAAGACAUGCUCUCAUAGGCUUAGCAACAAUUUAAAAUACAAUUUGACAUGAAGUAUUUGAAGUUUUUGUGAACCAUAUGUAUGGUAAGUAAACUACAAGUGCCUUUUAGAUAGUGAUGUCAUUCUUGAAAUUAAUCCAUAAUUACAAAAAGCUAUUUGUCAUGGAUUUCAUGAUAAUUCGUAGUUAUUAAAAAAAUUUUGGAAUAAAAAGCUAUCACAUAGAGCUUAUUAUUUGCUCUUAUUUGUUACAAAAUAGCACUUAUAACAAAGUGUGAUUUUUAUGAAGAAUGAUUUAGAAAAAUUGAUGCAAUAUAAAAUUGGUGUAAAAAUAAAUAUUAUCUUUAAGACUUCAAAAAAUACUUUAGUUUUUUUGCUCCACUCAAGUUUAUCUUUACAUACUAGGCAUAUAAGAAUAGCCACAACUUGAAAAAAAUUCUUAAUAAAAAACUUAUAAUAAUUGAUAAAUUUCAAAAAAUAUUACAUAUUUUUCAUUAUUUUUGAAAUCUUCCAAUCCAUGAUAAUUUGGACCUUCUUUGGAUCCAUCAUUAGUCUUUUUUUAGAAAUGAUGUAUCCUAAAAAGUCAACUUGAGGUAUGUAGAAUACAUACUUUUCCAUCUUCUCAUACAAUCCUAUAUUUUUAAGUUUUUGUUAUACAUGACAAACAUGAAGUUAGUAUUUUUUUAUAUUCUUAGAGAAAAUUAAAAUAUCAUCUAAAUAAUAGACAAUAAAAUCAUCAAAAAAUUCACAAAAAAUAUUAUUUAUGAGAUUUUGAAAAGAAAUUGAUAUGUUUUUAAGUCUAAAAGAUAUGAUAUUAUACUCAAAAUAUUUAUAUUUAAUUAAAAAAAAAUCUUCCAUUCAUCUUUUUUUUUAAUGUAGAUUAAAUUGUAUACUCUUUAUAGAUCUAUUUUUGUGUAAAUCUUUGUUAGAUUGAAUUAAUCAAGAAGUUUUAAAAUGAAAAGUACGAGAUAUCUAUUCUUAAUGGUGAUUUUGUUAACUCUCCAAUAGUCUAUACACAUUUGCAAAGAUCCAUCAUUUUUCUUUACAAAUAUGAUAAGAGCUCCUGCUAGAGAUUUUAAAUGGCAUAUGAAGUUUUUAGCAAAGUGUGAUUGUCGUUUUAUUUACUCUAACUAAUCUAAUAAGAGUAAACCUGUAUAGGAGAAUUCGAACACAAGGAAAGAAUACCGCAUGAGCUUACAUAUUAGGGUCACACAAUUAUCUGUAUUCCGCACUACUUAAAACACCCAAGAAACACUACAAUGCUUUCCACUUCCUAAUAAUACUCCACCAUCACUGAUAACAAUAACAUGUAAUCCCACACUAUCCUAAAUGACAGGACAUAAUCAUACUAUAAUCCAAAUUCUGGAGUUCUUCACCAUUAACUGCCUUCACAUUACAGUGUUUCACACAAAUACAAACUCAUUCUCUCUGCUGAACUACAAUCAGAUUUCAGCAUUCAAUCUUUCUUCUUCCCAUUUAAUAUUAAUCAUACUUCCAUUCCAUAAUUCACUUUCACAAUAUUCAGAAACUCUUAAUCUUCUUAUUCAAAGAAAAUAACAAACAAAAGAAAAGAGGUAGCACCAAGCUUACCCCAGCUCACACUAUCACAGUCUGGCCCCUACUUCCUCUCUCCCAUCCUCCUUAUGUUACCACAAGAUACCAACUGCUACAUCUCUAAUGAAAACUGCUUUUCUUAACUAUUCAUCUAUUUUACCUACUGAACUACCUUUUCAACAGUCAUAUAUCCCUGUUUAUACUAUAAACUAAGUAUCUAUAAUUCAGCAAAUAACUACUUAUUCUAUAUAGCCCCACUCCCAUCUAUGCAGCAU